UACGAAGGGGGCUAGCGUUGUUCGGAAUUACUGGGCGUAAAGCGCGCGCAGGCGGUUCUUCAAGUCAGUGGUGAAAGCCCGGAGCUCAACUCCGGAACUGCCAUUGAAACUGUUUAGCUUGAGGAUGAGAGAGGUGAGUGGAAUUCCCCAAGUAGAGGUGAAAUUCGUAGAUAUUGGUAGGAACACCGGUGGCGAAGGCGGUCUCUUGGGGCAUUCUUGACGCUGAGGCGCGAAAGCUGGGGGAGCGAACGGG
rnacentral:rRNA from 1 species